rnacentral:rRNA from 1 species
UACGGAGGGGCUAGCGUUGUUUCGGAAUUUACUGGGCGUAAAGCGCACGUAGGCGGCUUUGCAAAGUUAGAGGUGAAAGCCCGGGCUCAACUCCGGAAUUGCCUUUAAACUGCAUCGCUAGAAUUGUGGAGAGGUAAGUGGAAUUCCGAGUGUAGAGUGAAUUCGUAGAUAUCGAAGAACACAGUGCGAGCGACUACUGACACAUAUGACGCUGAGUGCGAAAAAAGCGUGGGGGGAGCAAAAAACAGAUUAGAUACCCCCCUGUAGUCCAGACCCCCCAGUCUCUGCUACCCCCGUAAAAAAUCACCC